UACGUAGGGGGCUAGCGUUGUCCGGAAUCAUUGGGCGUAAAGCGCGUGUAGGCGGUUCGGUAAGUCCGCUGUGAAAGUCGGGGGCUCAACCCUCGAAUGCCGGUGGAUACUGUCGGGCUAGAGUGCGGAAGAGGCGAGUGGAAUUCCUGGUGUAGCGGUGAAAUGCGCAGAUAUCAGGAGGAACACCAAUUGCGAAGGCAGCUCGCUGGGACGCUACUGACGCCUGGAGACGCGAAAGCGUGGGGAGCAAACAGG
rnacentral:rRNA from 1 species